rnacentral:lncRNA from 10 species
CUGCUACCAACAAUAAUAAUGGAUGCAUAGAAAUAGAUCUGGAUUAGCUGAGCUUGAAACAGUCCAUCUCACACACACACAAAAGAAUUUCAGAUACAGUGAACCCACAUGUUGAAGCUUUCUAGUAUAAUAAAAAUUUCAACUGUUCUGUUGAAUCAUCUGCCUGAUUGGAGGCUACAGAAAAGAUGUCAUCUUAGGAGUGCUUGCUCUGAGUGAGGCUCAUCUUCAAAUCUGAAUGACCACAAGGAGAUUUGAUUAUACAUGUGAACACCUCAGAAGGCACAGCCCACCCAGAAGGCAGACAGGAGGAGACAGACACUAGAGCUCACCGGCUCGCCCUCUCACUCCUACUCAUCUGAGAAGGCAGCCAGCUAACCCUUCAGCCAGGAAGAGGGUCCUCAUCAGAACCUGGCCGUGGUGGCAUCCAGAUCUUGAACCUCCGGACUCCAGACUGUGAGAAAAUAAGUGUGUUGUUUAAACUA